rnacentral:lncRNA from 1 species
GACUUUUAGGUUUUGCUUUUUUUUUUCAGUCAACAGUUUUGGUGACUACAGAACGCACCAGGGAAGGCUCCUCUUCUCCUGAACUCUUCGAAGCACUAGCCUUGUACCCCCAGAAGCCUCUUGUGCCUAUCUGCCUCCUUAGGAAAUCCAGAUGAAUUGGGGUAAUCUCGAGAUGGCGACUUGUUCCCUGCUCAAGAUCUUGCACAAGCUGUUCCCUCUACCUUCAACGUGGCCACCUCUUUGUCAGUCUUCAGUUCUCAGCUGAAAUGCCACCUGCGUAGGAGGAUCUUCCAAAAGUCAUCUGCUUCGUCCCGGGACCGUUGUUCUCUUCAUCGUGCUGGUCACUUCUUGAGGUUACCUUG